CAACUACUCCCUCCGUUCCACAAUACUUGUCUUCCCUUUGUCAAAAUAUCUAGACAUGUUUUAGUAUAUAGGUACAUGCAUUUUUGAACAAAUGGAAGUCAAGUAUUUUGGAACGGAGGGAGUACGUA
rnacentral:pre_miRNA from 1 species